rnacentral:rRNA from 1 species
UACGUAGGGUGCAAGCGUUGUCCGGAAUUAUUGGGCGUAAAGAGCUCGUAGGCGGUUUGUCGCGUCUGCUGUGAAAACUCGGGGCUUAACUCCGGGCCUGCAGUGGGUACGGGCAGACUAGAGUGCGGUAGGGGAGACUGGAAUUCCUGGUGUAGCGGUGAAAUGCGCAGAUAUCAGGAGGAACACCGGUGGCGAAGGCGGCGUUCUGGACUGUUUCUGACACUGAAAAACGAAAGCCAGGGGAGCAAACGGG